CCUACGGGGGGCAGCAGUGGGGGAUAUUGCACAAUGGGGGAAACCCUGAUGCAGCGACGCCGCGUGUGGGAAGACGGUCCUCUGGAUUGUAAACCACUGUCCCCAGGGACGAAGAUGACGGUACCUGGGGCGGAAGCUCCGGCUCACUACGUGCCAGCAGCCGCGGUAAUACGUAGGGAGCGAGCGUUGUCCGGAAUUACUGGGUGUAAAGGGAGCGUAGGCGGGACUGGAAGUUGGGGGUAAAAUCUACCGGCCCAAGCGGUAGCCGCACUCAAAACUGCAGUUCUUGAGUGAAGUAGAGGCAGGCGGAAUUCCUGGUGUAGCGGUGGAAUGCGUAGAUAGUAGGAAGAACACCAGUGGCGAAGGCGGCCUGCUGGGCUGUGACUGACGCUGAGGCUCGAAAGUGUGGGGAGCAAACAGGAUUAGAUACCCUUGUAGUC
rnacentral:rRNA from 1 species